rnacentral:rRNA from 1 species
AGGACGAACGCUGGCGGCGUGCUUAACACAUGCAAGUCGAGCGGAAAGGCCCUUCGGGGUACUCGAGCGGCGAACGGGUGAGUAACACGUGAGUAAUCUGCCCCUAGCUCUGGGAUAGCUCCGGGAAACCGGGAUUAAUACCGGAUACGACCACCUUAGACAUCUUUUGUGGUGGAAAGAAUUUCGGCUAGGGAUGAGCUCGCGGCCUAUCAGCUUGUUGGUGGGUAACGGCCUACCAAGGCGACGACGGGUAGCCGGCCUGAGAGGGCGACCGGCCACACUGGGACUGAGACACGGCCCAGACUCCUACGGGAGGCAGCAGUGGGAAUAUUGCGCAAUGGGCGAAAGCCUGACGCAGCGACGCCGCGUGGGGGAUGGAAGGCCUUCGGGUUGUAAACCCCUUUCAGCAGGGACGAAGCGAAAGUGACGGUACUGCAGAAGAAGCGCCGGCUAACUACGUCGCCAGCAGCCGC